CACGUAGGCGGUUUGGUAAGUUUGAUGUGAAAGCCCCCGACUCAAUCGGGGAAGUGCAUUGAAUACUGCUAGACUUGAGUGUAGGAGGGGAGAACGGAAUUCCUGGUGUAGAGGUGAAAUUCGUAGAUAUCAGGAGGAACAACGGCGGCGAAGGCGGUUCUCUGGACUAUUACUGACGCUGAGGUGCGAAAGCGUGGGGAGCGAACA
rnacentral:rRNA from 1 species